rnacentral:rRNA from 1 species
UACGUAGGGAGCAAGCGUUGUUCGGAUUUACUGGGCGUAAAGGGCGCGUAGGCGGCGCGGUAAGUCACUUGUGAAAUCUCUGAGCUUAACUCAGAACGGCCAAGUGAUACUGCAGUGCUAGAGUGCAGAAGGGGCAAUCGGAAUUCUUGGUGUAGCGGUGAAAUGCGUAGAUAUCAAGAGGAACACCUGAGGUGAAGACGGGUUGCUAGGCUGACACUGACGCUGAGGCGCGAAAGCGUGGGGAGCAAACAGG